CACUCUCAAACACGCUCUGGAAUGCAUUCUCAUCUGAUAGACAAUCUAUAAUGCUUUACCAUCUGAUUGUAAUUGACUUCAUUUCGAAGAAACCAUUGCUUUCUCGUCUCUUGCAGCAGAAAACUAGGAAAACCCAAUUUGCUUCAAAACAUUUUCUUAGACUGGAAAAAAUUCGGUUUCAUCAGCUGAAGGGGGGAGCAGUCACAAGGAGAAGGAAAGCCAGCUCAAAAGUGCUUGAAAUGCAAUCAUAGGUAAAAACCCUCAAUGCUUAUGAGAGAUUAAGAUUGCUUUCUCAUCAUAGCUGCAUCAUCCUUCUCCCUCAAGGGAUGCAAGAACUAACACAAAAUCAAAAGAAAAGCAGGCAUUCAGAAUGAGUAGGAGGUAUUGAAUCAUCAUACAUAUAAGAUAACUUAAAUCUUUCAUCAUUAUUGCCUGCCCUUCAUCCCUUCAAACAGAAAUAUCUCAACCAAAGAAACAAAAUUGGACAUUUAGGUAACUAUAUUAGUAAAUUGUUUUCAAUAAGAAAAAGAAUAAAAAGGAUUCCUCUCAGACAAAUGCCUCGAAUUGUCCUCACAAUUUGAAAGAAUGGAAAAAUGAUCAGACUCGUCAUCUAUGUUUCUUCAUCACCGAGAAAUCAUUGAAAAGAAAAGUGUAAACAAUAAUUAAAUAAAAAACAAA